rnacentral:tRNA from 1 species
GAUUAAAUGGCUGAAAUUUAGGCAAUAGACUGUAAAUCUAUUUAUGAGAAUAUCUCUUUAAUCA